AGAGCGAACGCUGGCGGCAGGCCUAAUACAUGCAAGUCGAACGAACCCUUCGGGGUUAGUGGCGGACGGGUGAGUAACACGUGGGAACGUGCCUUUUGGUUCGGAACAACUCAGGGAAACUUGAGCUAAUACCGAAUGUGCCCCCUCCUUUAACCAGGGGGGUGGGAAAGAUUUAUCGCCAUUAGAGCGGCCCGCGUCUGAUUAGCUAGUUGGUGGGGUAAAGGCCCACCAAGGCUACGAUCAGUAGCUGGUCUGAGAGGAUGAUCAGCCACACUGGGACUGAGACACGGCCCAGACUCCUACGGGAGGCAGCAGUAGGGAAUCUUGCGCAAUGGGCGAAAGCCUGACGCAGCCAUGCCGCGUGAAUGAUGAAGGUCUUAGGAUUGUAAAAUUCUUUCAGCGGGACGAUAAUGACGGUACCCGCAGAAGAAGCCCCGGCUAACUUCGUGCCAGCAGCCGC
rnacentral:rRNA from 1 species